UACGUAGGUGGCAAGCGUUGUCCGGAUUUACUGGGCGUAAAGAGCGCGCAGGCGGUCGAUCAAGUCGCGUGUGAAAAGCCCCCGGCUCAACUGGGGAGGGUCACGCGAUACUGAUCGACUCGAAGGCAGGAGAGGGUAGUGGAAUUCCCGGUGUAGUGGUGAAAUGCGUAGAUAUCGGAGGAACACCAGUGGCGAAGGCGACUACCUGCCUGUUCUUGACGCUGAGGCUGCGAAAGCUAGGGGAGCAAACGGGG
rnacentral:rRNA from 1 species